UAUUAGUAGAGAAGCGUGUGAGCCAGCUGCCAAGAAAAGCCGCUAUUGUUUCAUAAGUACCCGUACCGUAAACCGACACAGGUGGAUGAGGAGAGAAUCCUAAGGCCGGCGGGAGAAGUGUUGUUAAGGAACUCGGCAAAAUGACUCCGUAACUUCGGGAGAAGGAGUGCCACAGAGAUGUGGCCGCAGAGAAAUGGCCCAAGCAACUGUUUAGCAAAAACACAGGUCUAUGCAAAACCGAAAGGUGAGGUAUAUGGGCUGACGCCUGCCCGGUGCUGGAAGGUUAAGAGGAGAGGUUAGAGCAAUCGAAGCUUUGAAUUUAAGCCCCAGUAAACGGCGGCCGUAACAAUAACGGUCCUAAGGUAGCGAAAUUCCUUGUCGGGUAAGUUCCGACCCGCACGAAAGGCGUAAUGAUUUGGGCACUGUCUCAACAACACACCCGGUGAAAUUGAAAUACCAGUGAAGAUGCUGGUUACCUGCGCCAGGACGGAAAGACCCCAUGGAGCUUUACUCCAGUUUGAUACUGGGAUUCGGUACUGUCUGUACAGGAUAGGUGGGAGGCUAGGAAAUGGUGACGCCAGUUGCCAUGGAGCCAACCUUGGGAUACCACCCUUACAGUACUGGGUUUCUAACCUGCAGCCGUAACCCGGCUGGGGGACAAUGUCUGACGGGGAGUUUGACUGGGGCGGUCGCCUCCGAAAGAGUAUCGGAGGCGCUCAAAGGUUCCCUCGGAACGGUUGGAAACCGUUCGAAGAGUGCAAAGGCAGAAGGGAGCUUGACUGCGACACCGACGGGUGGAGCAGAUACGAAAGUAGGACUUAGUGAUCCGGUGGUAUAAAGUGGGAUUGCCAUCGCUCAACGGAUAAAAGCUACCCUGGGAUAACAGGCUUAUCACUCCCAAGAGUUCACAUCGACGGAGUGGUUUGGCACCUCGAUGUCGGCUCAUCGCAUCCUGGAGCUGUAGCAGGUUCCAGGGGUUGGGCUGUUCGCCCAUUAAAGCGGUACGCGAGCUGGGUUCAGAACGUCGUGAGACAGUUCGGUCCCUAUCCGGCGUGGGCGUAGGAUAUUUGAGAGGAGCUGUCCUUAGUACGAGAGGACCGGGAUGGACAAACCUCUGGUGUAUCUGUUGUUUUACCAAAGGCAUGGCAGAGUAGCCAAGUUUGGCAGGGAUAAACGCUGAAGGCAUCUAAGCGUGAAGCCCCCCUCAAGAUAAGAUAUCCCAUCUUCGGAGUAAGACCCCUUGAAGACUACAAGGUUGAUAGGCUUCAGGUGUAGGUGUGGUAACGCACUCAGCUGAGAAGUACUAAUAGGUCGAGGACUUACC
rnacentral:rRNA from 1 species